UUCUAUGGUGGCGUUAGUGGGGCAACCGAAAGGUUGGCUGGAUUCCGUUGGUGCCAGUAGUCUCAACCCUGCUAACGUCACCGCCAAC
rfam:Gilliamella sp. N-G2 NODE_33, whole genome shotgun sequence.